AGAGCAGGCCUUUCAGGCAUCCUCUCCUAAAAACUUUCACGGCCGAUCCCUCUGGGGUCGGCCUUUUUUUGUGUUCCG
rnacentral:sRNA from 1 species